AGUGAACGCUGGCGGUAGGCCUAACACAUGCAAGUCGAACGGCAGCACAGUAAGAGCUUGCUCUUACGGGUGGCGAGUGGCGGACGGGUGAGGAAUACAUCGGAAUCUACUUUUUCGUGGGGGAUAACGUAGGGAAACGUACGCUAAAACCGCAUACGACCUACGGGUGAAAGCAGGGGAUCUUCGGACCUUUCGCGAUUGAAUGAGCCGAUGUCGGAUUAGCUAGUUGGAGGGGUAAAGGCCCACCAAGGCGACGAUCCGUAGCUGGUCUGAGUGGAUGGUCAGCCACACUGGACCUGAGACACGGUCCAGACUCCUACGGGAGGCAGCGGUGGGGAAUGUUGGACAAUGGGCGCAAGCCUGAUCCAGCCAUACCGCGUGGGUGACGAAGGCAUUCGGGUUGUAAAGCCAUUUUGUUGGGAAAGAAAAGCAGCAGGUUAAUACCCCGCUGUUCUGACGGUACCCAAAGAAUAAGCACCGGCUAACUUCGUG
rnacentral:rRNA from 1 species